UUCCGUUUGUACUGAGUCCUCUCUCUUCCCCCAAAACCCUACUUCAAACCUCCACAACAAGAGAAUAAGAAAGUAAACAAAAACCGAUCAAAACCCUAAAAUCCUCCGAAAAUGUCCCCUUUGAUUUUCCGAUCCCGAUUCAUUUCCUUGCUGAAGAAUCGCCAUGGACGCCUCAUGAGCUCGGACCUCGCUUCCAGCGCCUCCAAGGAUCCCAUCAAUGCAUCCCAGAAGCUCGUCCCCGAUCAGAUUCCACCCGAUGCUCAAGCCACAACUUCUUCCUCCACCAGUAAGCCCUUGAGUUUCCUCAAGUAUAGUUUGAUUGGAGCUCUCACGGGGGCUACAGCGGCUGCUGGUUACGCUAGCUAUGCUUAUAGUUACGAUGAAAUUGAAGAAAAGGCAAAAGCUCUCCGUCAGUCUGCAAGUUAUAAUGUCACGGACGAUGUAUCUGGUUUUGGCAAAUUUCAGGGCAUGCUCUACUCAACAGCAAUGGCAGUUCCUGCAAAACUAGUUAAUGUUUACUUGGAUUUAAGGAAGACAAUUGAAGAACAAGUUAGAGAUUAUACUGAACCCAAUGCGGAAAUGCUUCUUCCAGAUUUGCAUCCCAUGGAACGGCAUGUGUUUACACUUGUUCUAGAUUUAAAUGAGACUCUAGUGUACUCUGAUUGGACGAGAGAAAGAGGCUGGCAGACGUUUAAAAGACCUGGUGUUGAUGCUUUCUUGGAACAUCUUGCCCAAUUUUAUGAAAUUGUUGUAUACUCUGAUCAAUCAAAUAUGUAUGUUGAUCCUGUCAUUGAUAGGUUGGAUACCAAACACUGCAUACGAUAUAGGUUGUCAAGAGCAGCUACAAAGUAUGUGAAUGGAAAGCAUUAUAGAGACCUGUCAAAGCUUAACAGGGAUCCCAGGAAGAUUAUUUAUUUGAGUGGCCAUGCGUUUGAUAGUAGUCUUCAACCAGAAAACUCUGUUCCAAUAAAGCCAUGGAAGUGUGAGGGCGAUGACACAUCUCUACUUGAUUUUAUACCAUUUCUUGAAUUUGUUGCACGAAAUAGCCCAGCUGACAUCAGACAAGUAUUAGAAUCGUAUAAAGGUUGUGAUAUUCCAACAGAAUUUAUAAGACGUUCCAAAGAGCAUCAAAGGCGGAUUCAAGAACAGAAGCAGCAAGGGCGAAUAUGGAAACGUUGAGAUCAGAAUAGUGUAAAAAGUUGAUUGAAAUUGUAGUGUCGAGAAACACAGAUAUUGUUUAGAAUCAACUCAAGCCAGCUUUCCUCCUGCAAUCCAAGAAGCAACUUCAGAUUGAUUCCACCUAUUUUCUCUUCUACAUUCCAUUAGUCGCAGCUUCUUGAUGUUCUACAAGAGCAUGGCAAGUCACUUUCUUUGAUAACUUCAAAGUCUUUGUUUGUGCUAGCAGGCAGAUUCUUGGUCACUUUCCUUCUCAGCUUGACGCCAAAGCUUUCUCGACUUUAAAAGUCUCUGUCCACUCAAUAAAUAUGGCAUCAAGUCUUCUUCAUCUCAUAAUCUCUUUUCCCCCAUAAGCUCCAUAUUUUCUACUACUUUGAAAUUUCAAAUAUUUGGGCUAUUCAUUUCCUCUUCAAUGCAACAUUAUUGCAUGCUUGGACCCAUUUAUUGAGUAAACUCUUUAGGGACAUGUUGGUAAUUCUAUCAAUAUUUCUGUUAAUGGA